UACUCGGCAGGUCUGCUAGUGUCUGCUGUUGACCUACCUGCAUUAUUACCUGAAGUAUUUUACAUAUGCCUGCGAUUUUAACUUGUGGGAUGUCAACGGAGAAAGAAAGACUGGGACACAGAGGAAGGAUCAUACGGGAUGUGGUGACCAGCAAAGUUACGUGAAUUGAUAUCCUGCAAAAUUAUUGAAGAUAUCAGCACUGGACCCUGAGCAGUGCAUGGCCUGCAAGAUCAUGAGAAGGCUGAAGAACCAGGAGUGACAAGAUACCACUGGAUGGUGGGGCACAUAAUUCCACUCAAGGACAGUGAUCUGAAAAUGUCUGUUUACCAACGGUCCCCAUCCAACCUGACAGAGCGUGUGAGGAUCUGCAGAAAAGAAUGGCAGAACAUCCCCAAAUCCAGGGUAUUGAGUGUAGAUUGAUGAGCUCAAUAAGGAUUGGAACAACAUUGACGGGGGGGAAACACCCAAAGUCCAUCACUCAUGCACCGAGGAUCUGGCUGAUUACUGGAAAUUUGGAAGAUUGUUCUUUAUCUGCACUGUCACUUCUGGUAAAUAUUUAUAAAGAAGAAAUAUACUUUAUUAAUCCCCAAGGGGAAAUUAGUUCUCUGCAUUUAACCCAUCCUUAGUUAUUAAGGAGCAGUGGGCUGCAGUGAUGCGACCAGGAAGCAACUGGGGGUUCAGUGCCUUGCUCAAGGACACUUUGACUUGCAACUAAUGGGGAGAGCGGGGAUCGAACCGACAACCUUGGGGUUGCAGGACGGCCCCCUUACCCCACUGAGCUACAGCCGCCCACAAUUAUGGACCUUUUGUGAAUAAAUAAGUGCUGGGAAAAUCCACCAUCUGAGCCGACUUCUUCCAUGCCCGCUCCACAUCAGUUACAUCUGCUCUGAACCUCUUUCAUGUGAGGGUGAAACUCUUUUAUUUUGCAAACCUCUGAAACCCAACCCAAUGUUCCUUAAAGCUGCUCUGAACCUCUCAUGCCCAAAGUUACAGUGUGUUGAUAGUUGUUGUUGGACAGUGUUGAGCACGCUGUGUUCUUGAAAUAAAGCUUUGUUUUUUACAAUAUUCUA